CACGUAGGGUGCGAGCGUUGUCCGGAAUUAUUGGGCGUAAAGAGCUCGUAGGCGGUGUGUCACGUCGGCCGUGAAAACCUGCAGCUUAACUGUGGGCGUGCGGUCGAUACGGGCAUCACUGGAGUUCGGCAGGGGAGACUGGAAUUCCUGGUGUAGCGGUGAAAUGCGCAGAUAUCAGGAGGAACACCGGUGGCGAAGGCGGGGUCUCUGGGCCGAUACUGACGCUGAGGAGCGAAAGCGUGGGGAGCAAACAGG
rnacentral:rRNA from 1 species